rnacentral:rRNA from 1 species
AUUGAACGCUGGCGGCAGGCCUAACACAUGCAAGUCGAACGAGUGGCGGACGGGUGAGUAAUGUCUGGGCAACUGCCUGAUGGAGGGGGAUAACUACUGGAAACGGUAGCUAAUACCGCAUACCAUCUGAUGUGCCCAGAUGGGAUUAGCUAGUUGGGGGGGUAACGGCUCACCUAGGCGACGAUCCCUAGCUGGUCUGAGAGGAUGACCAGCAACACGGGAAAGGAGACACGGUCCAGAAGCCUACGGGAGGCAGCAGUGGGGAAUAUUGCACAAUGGGCGCAAGCCUGAUGCAGCCAUGCCGCGUGUAUGAAGAAGGCCUUAGGGUUGUAAAGUACUUUCAGCGAGGAGGCGUUACUCGCAGAAGAAGCACCGGCUAACUCCGUGCCAGCAGCCGCGGUAAUUC